AGUGAACGCUGGCGGUAGGCCUAACACAUGCAAGUCGAACGGCAGCACAGUAAGAGCUUGCUCUUACGGGUGGCGAGUGGCGGACGGGUGAGGAAUACAUCAGAAUCUACUUUUUCGUGGGGGAUAACGUAGGGAAACUUACGCUAAUACCGCAUACGACCUACGGGUGAAAGCAGGUGAUCUUCGGACCUUGCGCGAUUGCAUGAGCCGAUGUCGGAUUAGCUAGUUGGCGGGGUAAAGGCCCACCAAGGCGACGAUCCGUAGCUGGUCUGAGAGGAUGAGCAGCCACACUGGAACUGAGACACGGUCCAGACUCCUACGGGAGGCAGCAGUGGGGAAUAUUGGACAAUGGGCGAAAGCCUGAUCCAGCCAUACCGCGUGGGUGAAGAAGGCCUUCGGGUUGUAAAGCACUUUUGUUGGGAAAGAAAAGCAGCAGGUUAAUACCCCGCUGUUCUGACGGUACCCAAAGAAUAAGCACCGGCUAACUUCGUG
rnacentral:rRNA from 1 species